CCUAAUAAGUUGGCUCCCGCCUCCGCCGGUCAUAGCAUUGGAAGGCUACCCCUGGCUCUCCCACCGCCCCAGGAAGGCGGAGCUCGGGAGAAUGUCAUCCAAUCCACGUCCGAGAAGGAGGAAAAAGGGGGUCUCGCCCAGCCAGUGGAAGACAAGAGAAGGCGGGGCCUCCGGGCGAGCCCGAGGCACAACAGGAGCGGGGGUCUCCUGCCCGCCUCUUCUCCAGUACGCCGCCAAAACCUACCGAAACCGACUGCUCGGUGAGAUAAACUAGGCGGCACUGCCGGCGCAGGGACGACCCCAGGCCGGAGCGACCCCCUCCCCACGGCUCCGGCCCGGCUGGAAACACACACACAGGCGAGCGGGCGGCGCCAAGAGCUCUCCUUCCUGGCCUGUCCCUCGCCUACCUCGGCCGCGGGACUCCGAGCCUCCCCUCAGCUCGGUCCCAGGGCCCGCGGGGCCCACACCACGUCGGGCCGGCCAGACCGAGCGGCCGGCGGAUUAGCCCCCCAAACCACCGAGAUUGGGGGGACCAAAUUAAAAGCAGCUGUUCAACAUACCUUCCGAGCCAGGCGAGGAGUCCUGAAUGGGGGGGAACGCCCCCCACGGGCCAUUGGCUCCCCGGAGCUCACGUCAGUCACCCUGGGCCCGCCUCCGCCCUUCGCCCCGCCUCUUCCCCUUCAUUGAAUGCUCCCUCCUUCCAAAAAAUAUAAAUAAAUUUAUUAAACUAAAGGCUAGUGAGAGA